rnacentral:lncRNA from 1 species
AAGUAGUGUCGGUCACCCCUUUAUGGUGGUGCGGCGAUGUGCAGAGGACGGAGUCGUCGCUCCGGUGACCAGAAACGCCGCUACGACGGCGGUGGAGCUUUUCACCGACAGAUUUUCCGAUGCUGUUGAUGAUGAUGAUGGAGGCUGAUGGUGGUGAUGACGGCGGCUGCGUCGCGGCCAUCUGCGGUGGUGGACGCUGGUGGCAGUGGUGGUGGUUGUUUACAGCUCGGGUUCGGGUAUAGGGCUCCAGAUUCGUUAGUUCAGAUUCGGGUGAUGUUUAAGCGGAGGAUAAAUUACAAUUUUACCCAUCAUGUGAGAGGCACAUGGGUGCAUUUAACUGGAUUGUUGGAUGGGGUUUGGAGCAAAGGACAAAGAGUGUGCAAAUUUGUUAUUUAAAGGACAUGGCCUGCACAAAUUAAAAGGAAAGGGCAGAGACUGCAAUUUAG